rnacentral:rRNA from 1 species
GACGAACGCUGGCGGCGUGCUUAACACAUGCAAGUCGAACGGAAAGGCCUCUUUCGGGGGGUACUCGAGUGGCGAACGGGUGAGUAACACGUGAGUAACCUGCCCUUUACUUUGGGUUAACUUCAGGAAACUGGGGCUAAUACCGGAUAGGAGCUCCUGCUGCAUGGUGGGGGUUGGAAAGUUUAGGCGGUUGGGGAUGGACUCGCGGCUUAUCAGCUUGUUGGUGGGGUAGUGGCUUACCAAGGCUUUGACGGGUAGCCGGCCUGAGAGGGUGACCGGCCACAUUGGGACUGAGAUACGGCCCAGACUCCUACGGGAGGCAGAAGUGGGGAAUAUUGCACAAUGGGUGGAAGCCUGAUGCAGCAACGCCGUGUGCGGGAUGACGGCCUUCGGGUUGUAAACCGCUUUCGCUCAUGACGAAGCUUUGUGUGACGGUAGUGGGUAAAGAAGCACCGGCUAACUACGU